CCCUCUAAACCCUAAACCUUAAACCCUAACCCUAAACCCUAAACCCUAAACCCUAAACCUAAACCCUAAACCCUAAACCCUAAACCCUAAACCCUAAACUAACCUAAAACCCUAAACCCUAACCCUAAACCCUAACAACCCUAAACCGCUAAACCGCUAAACCCCAUAAACCCUAAACCCUAAACCCUAAACCGUAACCUAAACCCUAAACCCUAACCUAAACCCUAAACCCUAAAACCCUAAACCCUAAACCCUAAACCCUAAACCCUAAACCCUAAACCCUAAACCGCUAAACCCUAACCCUAAACCCUAAACCCUAAACCUAAACCCUAAACCCUAAAAACCUAAACCUUAAACCCUAAACCCUAAACCCUAAACCCUAAACCUAAACCCUAAACCCUAAACCCUAAACCCUAAACCCUAAAACCCUAAACCUAAACCCUAAACCCUAAACCCUAAACCCUAAACCUAAACCUAACCCUAAACCCUAAACCCUAAACCCUAAACCCUAAACCCUAAACCCUAAACCCUAAACCCUAAACCCUAAACCCUAAACCCUAAACCCUAAACCCUAAACCCUAAACCCAAACCCUAAACCCUAAACCUAAACCCUAAACCCUCAACCCUAAACCCUAAACCCUAAACCCUAAACCCUAAACCUAACACCCUAAACCUUAAACCCUAAACCCUAAACCGUAAACCUAAACCCUAAACCCUAACACCCUAAACCUAAACCCUAACACCUAAACCUAACCUAAAACCCUAAACCUAAACCCUAACUAACCUAAACCGACCUUAAACCCUAAACCCUAAGACCUAAACCUCUAACCUAACUAAACCCUAAACCCCUAAACCCUAAACCAACUAAACCCUAAACCUAAACCCUAGAACCCUAAACCCUAAACCGUAACCCUAAACUAACCUAAACCCUAAACCCAAAAACCUAACCCUAAACCCUAAACCCUAAACCCUAACCCUAAACCGCUAAACCCUAAACCCUAAACCCUAAACCUAAACCCUUAACACCUAAACCCUACCUAACCCUGAAACCCUAAACCUAAACCCUAAAUCUAACCCUGAAUAACCCUAACCCUAAACCCUAAAACCUAAAACCCUAAACCCUAAACCCUAAACCCUAAACCUAACCCUAAACCUCAAACCGCUAAACCUUAAACCCGUAAACCUAAACCUAAACCUAAACAAAAACCCUAAACCUAAACCUAAACCUAAACGCUAACCCGUAAAACCCUAAACCCUAAACCUAAACCUAACAACCCUAAACCCUAAACCCUAAACCUAAACCCCUAAACCCUAACCCUUAAACCUAAACCCAAAACCUAAACCCUAAGACCCUAAACCUAAACCCUGAGAACCCUAACAACCCUGAACCCAAACCCUAAACCUAAACCUACUAACCCCUACCUAAACCUAAACCGCUUAAACCUACAACCUAAACCCUAAACCCUAACCCUAAACCUCUAACCCCUUAAAACCCGUAAACCCUAAACCUAAACCUAAACUAAACCCUAAAAACCGCUAAAACCAAAACCCUAAAACCCUAACCUAAAACCCUAACCAGCUAAACGCCUUAAAAAACCCUGUAAAAACGCCCUGAAACCCUAAACCCUAAAACCCUAAACCCCUAAAGCCCUAACCCCUAAACCCUAAACCCUAAACGCCUAAACCCUAAACCCUAAACCCUUACAACCCUAAAACCCUAAACCCUAAACCCUAACCCUAACUACGCCUAAACCGCUAAAACCCUAUAACCCUAAACCCUAAACCUAAACCCUAAACCCUAAACCCUAACCCCUAAAAACCGCUAAACGCCCUAAAACCCUUAAAGCCUCAAUCCUAAACCCUAAACCCUAAACCCAAUAAACCGCCUAAAACCUAAACCCUAACAACCUAAACCUAAGCGUAAAACCCUUAAACUCGCUAAACCCUAAAAGCGCUAAACUCUAAAACCAAACCCUAAACCCUAAACCUUAAAACCUAAACCCUAACCCUAAACCCUAAUACCUAACCCUAAACCAACCCUAAACCUCUAAACCCCUACAACCCUAAAACCAACCUAAACCCUAAACCUAAAACCCUAAAAACCCUAGAACCCCUAUACCCUGAGAAGACCCUAAACCCGUAACAACCGUAACACCUAAACCCUAAACCCUGCAAACCCGUACCGAAACCCUAAACCCUAAACCCUAAACCCUAACCUAAAACCCUAAACCCUAAAACCCCUAAAUCCUAAACCCCAAACCCUAAACGCCCUAACCUACGAAGCCCAACCCCUAAAUCGACAACCAGCUAAACCCCUCUAAGCCGAAAACCUAAACCUAAACCCUAAACCUAAACCCUAACACCGCUAAAAAAAACCCUUAAAAACCCUAAACCCUAAACCCUAAACCCUAAACCCUAAACCCCUAAAACCCAUAAACCCAAACCCUAAACCCUAAACUAAACCCUAAACCCUAAACCGUAAACCUAAACCUAAACCUCG
rnacentral:lncRNA from 1 species